rnacentral:lncRNA from 1 species
GCCCCACUCCCACUAUCAUUUUUUAUGUUCAGUGGACCGUGAAAAUGGGGUCAAAAAUUUAAUUUGGAAUUAAAAUUAGAAAGAUCAUAUCAUAGGGAACAUGUGUACUAAGUUUCAAGUUGAUGUAACUUUAACUUCAUCAAAAACUACCUUGACCAAAAACUUUAACCUGAACUUUGCACUAUCAUUUUCUAUGUUCAGUGGACCAUGAAAUUGGGGUCAAAACUAUAAUUUGGCAUUACAAUUAGAAAGAUCAUAUCAUGGGGAACAUGUGUAUUAAGUUUCAAGUUGAUUGGCCUUCAGCUUCAUCAAAAAC